AUCCAAUUGACGAGUCCGAAAUAGGAAGGAAUGCGCGUCCUGGAU
rnacentral:hammerhead_ribozyme from 1 species